AUGGUUAAUAGAAUUUUUAUAUAAAUAGAAAUACUAACUAAUUAAAAACAAAUCCUGUUUUUAUUUCUUCCACUGGAUAACGUAUGAUUAUAUUUAAAAUGUGUGACAGCUCUAGCGAAGAUGACACCGGUGACAUUAUAUCAAAUGCAUUCAAAUGUUGUCGGAUCCUUUUUAAGUGUUUUAAAUGCAUGAAAAAAUCCAAAGCCUUGAACAAUAAAAUAAAACCUGGUAAAGUGAAGGUCAAGGUUAAUGGGAUAUCUCUGGGAUCCCAACAGCCGAUCGCAGAACAUGUUGAAGGUUUUGCAGACCAUAUUGAAUGAUCAACAUGCUAAUAUUACUUCCUUUUAUGGAUAUGUCUUCUCAAACUCAAAAGUAUAAUUAUAUAUAGCACUAUGACAGAUUCUUUGAAAAAUUCUUUGAUCGGUUAAAAUUAACAGCCACAUAUAUUUACAUAAAACAAAAAUUUGAAAACUUGGAUGAUAAAUGUUUUAUUAAAAUAUUUUUGUAUGAUUGAAAUUGAUUAAAUAAAAUGCACUUCUACUCGGAAGUUUCUAUA